GACGAACCGUACGAACGUUAUUCGGAAUUACUGGGCUUAAAGGGCGCGUAGGCGGCGGGGUAAGUCGGGUGUGAAAUCUCAGGGCUCAACCCUGAAACUGCACUCGAUACUGCUCUGCUUGAGGACUGGAGAGGAGACUGGAAUUCACGGUGUAGCAGUGAAAUGCGUAGAUAUCGUGAGGAAGACCAGUGGCGAAGGCGGGUCUCUGGACAGUUCCUGACGCUGAGGCGCGAAGGCCAGGGGAGCAAACGGG
rnacentral:rRNA from 1 species